UGUGGUGGUGGGUGCCUGUAAUACCAGCUACACGGGAGGCUGAGGUGAAAGGAUCACUUGAACCCGGGAGGCAGAGGUUUCAGUGAGCCGAGAUUAAGACACUGCACUCCAGCCUGGGCAACAGAGUGAGACUCUGUCUCAAUUAAAAAGUAAAACCAAACAAAAAAACUACAUAUGUGUGUGUGUGUGUGUGUGUGUGUGUGUGUAUCCCCUUAAACCCAGACUAAAUGUAUCCCCAACUCAAAUUCCCCUUAUCCAGCCCACGACCAUUGCAGAGCCACCUGCUAGAUGGGGAAGCAGGAGAGAAGGGAAGUUGUAAUGAAAAGCCAUUGACCUCCCCUCCAAUUAAAACAUCCCCCCUCCAAUUUUGUUCUUCCUAUGAUCAUCUGGAUACAUUGUUAGCACCUUUUUUUUAUAAGCCCUGGAAAGGGGCCUUUGGGAAUGACUUUCAAACUUCACUUUGACAGUCUCUCUGCCUCUAUUUCUAUUUCUCCAUGGUGUCUAGUGGUUUCCCGUCUUCCUUCUGCUGCAGGCACCUAACCCUACUUGUCAAAUUUUGAGCACCAAAUUACAUCUCUGCCUGCUUGAGCUCAUUUCUUUUUGACUUUUCUAUUGGAUUACUUCUCUUGUCUACAAACCUCUCAUUCUCUCUAAUUAUCUAGAACAUUCCAAAGUGUCCCUCAAAUUUUUUACCUUUUCCAGAAGCUGAUAUUUGUCACUGAAAUCCACUGCUUCCAUGAUUUGUGGAUAUCUCAGGUGGGUGACACACGACACAGACUCUGCCUGCUGGUCACCUGCAUGUUCGUCCAGGGUUUCUCCCCUACCAGCCUAGCUCAAAAGCCCUCUCGUUUGAUCCCAAGGAAUUGCUACAGCACAUGCUGUUGGGGUGCCUGGUGUGGGGCUCCUAGAGGGCUCCUUUAAGCCUGCCUCUCCCUCUCUGGUAGUUGUAACUAGAAAGGGUAUUCAGGAAAAAACACAAAUUUCUCUCUAGGUCUUCUCAGCCUCCUUACCAGGCAGCAAGAGCUGAGAGAACUUGGAGUAGAAUAUUCUAAACCUUGCUCCUGUAUCUGCUUUCUUGCCUUAAGAGAAAAAUCUUUUCCCCCAGAUUCUGCUGUCUUUACACUCAUUCUCAUCUUACCGAUCUCUUUAAAAUUUCAGUCAUUCUCGGAGACCAUAGGGCAGAACGCAAAGAACAUAACAUAGGAGUCAAAUGGAGCCGAACACUUCAGUCACUCACGUGAUGGCUGUGUGUCCUUGGGCUCUACAAGAAGCAUGGUAUCAGCAUCUGCUUCUGAUGAUGCCUCAGGCUGCUUCCACUCAAGUUGGAAGGAAAAAGGGAGGCUGCAUGUGCAGAGAUCACACGGAGGAGGAGGAAGCAAAAGAGAACUUUCUAGCUCGAAAUCACGUAUGGAAGCUGAGUCACCUCCGUUUCUCCUGGAGCCCGAGCUGGCUGUCACCGAGACCUUGCUCAUUAUGCAGACUCAUUCACAUGCAUACCCAAAGCAACACUUGACGGUUGUGGAAGAUUUCCAUCCUCACAGGUCAUGAAAUGCGUCUCCACUGGAAUACUGGUUGUUUAUCACCUACACUAACGAUUUACAAUGGCCUAAGUGUUGUAUUCCUAGUGACUGUAGUCUGAAUCAAAAACUCCUGCCCUGAAGCAAGGACAACUUCUUUAUUCACAUGGAGAAUGAUAGCAGGGAAAAGGCAAAAAUUUAACAAUAACGAAGAAAAAUCCCUCUUUUUCUAUGUGCAGAAUAAAAAUCUUAUUAAAAUAAGACCUUUCAAGUGCUUCCUUUCACUGUUCAUUUGGGAAGGUAUUUCACAGACGGUAUGAACACCCUGAAAUGUUGCCCGGUCUGAAAUCUUUUAUCUGCAGCUUUAGAAGAACAAAGGGUAAAACAUAUGGAAAGGAGAAACCAGCAGUAGACGGCACAGCUAAGGACAGGGACAGGAAUGCAAAUUAUGAUUCUUGUCUCAAAAUAUUUCUGGUCAGUUUCUACCCACCGAGGGCCAUCUCUGGGUGCAGGGUAGAGACUGCAUAUGGGGUGAUUAAGGGCCCUGUGAUUUCUUGACACCAACACAGAACUGCGAGCUUUGCAAGUCCUUGCCUUUUAUCAAAGACACACUUUUUUUUUUUUUUUUUGAGACGGCGUCUCGCUGUGUCGCCCAGGCUGGAGUGCAGUGGUGCGAUCUCGGCUCACUGCAAGCUGCGCCUCCCGGGUUCACGCCAUUCUCCUGCCUCAGCCUCCCGAGUAGCUGGGACUACAGGCACCCACCACCAUGCCCAGCUAAUUUUCUUUUGUAUUUUUAGUAGAGACGGGGUUUCACCGUGUUAGCC
rnacentral:lncRNA from 1 species